rnacentral:snoRNA from 1 species
UAGCCAGCCAAUGAAUCUGCUUACCUGAUUUUGUUGUUCAGAUAUAUUUUAAAAACUGGCAAUAGUAGGCUGGGCGUGGUGGCUCACGCCUGUAAUCCCAACACUU